rnacentral:rRNA from 1 species
UGGGGGAUAUUGCACAAUGGAGGAAACUCUGAUGCAGCAACGCCGCGUGAGGGAAGAAGGUCUUCGGAUUGUAAACCUCAGUAGUCAGGGACGAAAGAAAUGACGGUACCUGAAGAGUAAGCUCCGGCUAACUACGUGCCAGCAGCCGCGGUAAUACGUAGGGAGCGAGCGUUGUCCGGAUUUACUGGGUGUAAAGGGUGCGUAGGCGGGAUAGCAAGUCAGACGUGAAAUACCGAGGCUUAACUUCGGGGCUGCGUUUGAAACUGUUAUUCUUGAGUGAAGUAGAGGCAGGCGGAAUUCCUAGUGUAGCGGUGAAAUGCGUAGAUAUUAGGAGGAACACCAGUGGCGAAGGCGGCCUGCUGUGCUUUAACUGACGUUGAGGCACGAAAGCAUGGGGAGCAAACA